UCGUAAGCAUAGGCUUGAAAUAUUUCUGAAUAUCACAUUUUUUUCCAAUAUUAUAAUUUCUGUUACAGAAGCAUCCUGGGGACGCCAGCUGAGAUUGACACCCCACUGUUGUCGAUGCUGUACGCACGUAGGACAUGAAUUCCCUGCCCGGCUGCCAAGUGCAAAGGCACUUUUGCUGUGGGAAAAUCUGAGAUUUUGUGGAAAAUGUGUUCCAGAGCCUUUUGAAUCAGGUAACGCAACGUUUUAUGCACAGCAUUGAAUACUUACUCGCGUAAGUAUUGUCCUUGCCAUUCACAUACUUCUGCACUCUCCACGCUCCAGAAUCCGGCCCACGC
rnacentral:lncRNA from 1 species